rnacentral:snRNA from 1 species
UCACUUACCUGGACGGGGUCAAUGGGCGAUCAAGAAUGUCCAUGGCCUAGGUUGGUGACCUCCAUUGCACUUAGGAGGGGUGCCCGCCUAAGGUCGGCUCAAGUGGUCGAGCCUAUGUCAUAAUUUGUGGCAGUGGAGGCCUGCGUUCGCGCGGCCUCUU